rnacentral:rRNA from 1 species
UACGUAGGGUGCAAGCGUUAAUCGGAAUUACUGGGCAUAAAGCGUGCGCAGGCGGUUAUGUAAGACAGAUGGGAAAUCCCCGGGCUCGACCUGGGAACUGCAUUUGUGACUGCAUAGCUAGAGUACGGUAGAGGGGGAUGGAAUUCCGCGUGUAGCAGUGAAAUGCGUAGAUAUGCGGAGGAACACCGAUGGCGAAGGCAAUCCCCUGGACCUGUACUGACGCUCAUGCACGAAAGCGUGGGGAGCAAACAGG